rnacentral:rRNA from 1 species
UAGGGAAUCUUCCACAAUGGACGAAAGUCUGAUGGAGCAACGCCGCGUGAGUGAUGAAGGGUUUCGGCUCGUAAAACACUGUUGUAAGAGAAGAAUGACAUUGAGAGUAACUGUUCAAUGUGUGACGGUAUCUUACCAGAAAGGAACGGCUAAAUACGUGCAG